UGGUUCUGGCAUCGAUGAAGAACGCAGCGAAAUGCGAUAAGUAAUGUGAAUUGCAGAAUUCAGUGAAUCAUCGAAUCUUUGAACGCACAUUGCGCCCCUUGGCAUUCCGAGGGGCAUGCCCGUUCGAGCGUCAUUAACACCCCUCAAGCCUGGCUUGGCCUUGGGCGGCGGGGUCACCCCCGCGCCUGCAAUUCCUCGGUGGGACGGCGAGGGCUCCCAGCGUUGCGGCGAUCCACACCCGCUGGCGAGCCCGCCCGGCCCGGCCGGUCCCCAUCACCUCAGGUUGACCUCGGAUCGGGUAGGGAUACCCGCUGA
rnacentral:misc_RNA from 1 species